CAAAGUUCCAAGGCGAGGCUCUAAAACGGAUUGCACCAACUCAGAGCCAACCUGUAACUGACCAGCAAGUUCAGCCACAGAGAUUUGGCUGCAUUCUUGGAGCCUCUCGUUGAUCUCUUCUGCGAUUGAGUCCCAAUAGGUUUGUGAUAUGAUCUCUCCCUGGACAAGCAUUAGCCCUGGAUCACUCAAGACCACAUCAAUUUAUUAUUUAACCGAUGCUGCAUUUGGUAGUUAAACAGUUAUAAGUAUUUCACAAACGCACCAAUUUCUAACCAUGGAAUUAGUCGUAUAAAUCUCUUAAAACUGGUAGAAAUCGCAACCACUCCUAUCGGCAAACUUCCGCAACCUCACUGCGUUUGAACUAGUUAUGUCUAGAUUUUCGCUGUUUGCAACAAGCACGAGAAUGGAACUAUUUUUGUAUGGGCCUGAUAAUGGGCUAUGGCAGCGUAAAUAAAUGGUUUUGUAUGGGCAUGGGCUACGGCCGAGAUCUGCUAUCCGAAUCUUUUUUGUCAAGUAUGAGUGUUGAAAAUUGGUUUUGUUGAUAACACAAUUAGGAAGCGUUCACUUGCCACUGGUUUCCGAAAUUUUAUUAGAACCGGAUGGUUGAAGGCCUCUUAACCUAGUUUACUUUUUAAUUACGGUUUACAUUUAUAUACUAAAACACAAGUCACACAUGACCAACAAAAUUUUAACACAUAGCAAAGUUAAAAAAACAAAAACAAAAAAUAAAACACACAAUUAACAAACAAAAUAAAACUUUUCAUUCCACGUUCAUUUGGCUCACGAUUUCAAACUGUUCUUUUAACCUUUUAUAAAGUUCUAAUUACUAAUUUAUUCUCUCUUUGCUCUUUUUAACUCUCUCUUCAUUGUCCUCCUUUUGUUUUUGUUACAAUUUUGACUAUACAAAAAAAAACUUACAGAUUUAUAACUAUAUUAUUUUUUGUAUCUUACAGAUUGAAGAUGACACUUGAAUCAAAGCUUAAUUCUUCAAUAUAAGAAUGGGAAAUAAGAACUUCAUCAGCAACUAAGACCAUGAUAACCUUCCCUUCCAAGGCCUCAACUAAUGCAAGGGCCUUUCUCGAGAGUGAACCGUUGAGAUUUUUAGCCUGUCACAAAGGAAAAGAAUCAGCUAGCAUUACUUUAGAAUAUAAAGUGCAAAAACAAAGUAUUAAGAUAAAUUAUUGAUCAAGUGCACAUACAAGGGCCAUUCUUUCAGAAGACUCCAGCAAAACUGAAUCUUGAGCUUUGGAAUCUCCAACCUCAAUACCAUUCUUCAAGUUGUUGAGGAUGUCCUGUUUUGAUAAUCACAUCUUAACUAGCUAAAUCUUUAAGAAAAUGGCCUAGGAAGCUCACUUUAUUUUUGACUUACCAAGUCAUGAAGUAGUGUAUCAGCAAUUGUAGCUGCUGUUGUUCUCAGCAGAUGCCUAUGUAAAACAGCCUAGGACCAGAAGAAACGAAAUUGAUACAUUAUAUUCUUUAGUUAGCAAGUGCGGCCUUUCAAAAUGGACAGAAAGUACUUACUGAAGUCGAUUGGUCAUCUUCAAAUAGCUCUAGCGCUUUUUCGUACAGCUGCAUAUUUAGAAACGACUGCCAAAAGGAAAGCCAUUAAAGCGAGUAACACAGGAUAUACAUUGAUUGUCCAAAAAUAUAAAACUAUAGUUGAAGCACUUGGGUCCAACCUCAUCAAGCUUUUUCUGAAGAUCAUCCUUCAAGCGUUUCAUUCUAUCUGCAUUUUCUGUGAAGAUUUUCUUUCUUCUCUCCUUUAAUGAGUUAAUGAGCAUCGGUCUCAUAAGGUCAGCUAGAUGCUUGAGAAUUGAAUCUGGGUUCUCCAUACCUGCAGUACACAACAUAGCUACUGUCACACGGACAAUAGGUACGUAAUUUUGUAUGAAUGCAAAAGAAUGACUUUCUCAGAUGUACCUUCAUCUUCAAACUCAGGCACAGAGUCGACGAUCUUUUUCAUCACCCAUCCGUCCGGGGGGAUAAAGUUAUUACCUUCUUGCGCCUUAACGGACUCUUUCUUGCCUCCUGCUUUCGCAUCCAACUUCUGUGACGAGGAUGAAUCCCUGCCUUUCUUCUGGUUUCUCUUAGAUUUAGGACGGGCUUCUUCUUCAUCAUCUGGAACAGUUUCUACGGUUGCUGUCUUCAUGCUGGCAGACUUGCCUCUCUUCUUCUUUGAUCCUUUAUCUGUAUUAGCAGGUAUGCUUUCUUGCGACUCUGAAGAUUUGCUUGGAUGAUCUAUCAGACUAGCAGUAGAAGCUUGGAUGCUAAAAGCUUCUGCAUCUUUCUCAAUUUGAUCAUAUAUGCCCUGAAUAUUAAAUUAGUAGGUCAAGCUAAGUCGUAGUUCAGAUAGAGAAAGCCAAUUGGAAAACACAAAGGAAACUACUAAAAAUACCCUUCAUUUCAUAUGAUUACCUUUAUGAACCCACUGCUUAUGACAUAGGAUUCAGCCAGGAUAAGUGCUUUCUCAGCCUGAAUAGAAAAUAAAUCAGCAAUCAAUCGCAAAAGAGCACUGACUAGUUAUCAAAUUUGACCAAAAUACCACCUUGAGAGCUGAUUGGACGGAGGGACAAAGAAGCAGAAUCUUGUUUGCAUCCUGUGAUGUGAAUGACGCAGGCAAUACAGAGAGGGAAUCGAUCCUGAAUCGAGUAACAAGGUUUCAGUAACAACGUGUAGAGACAGUAUAACACAUAAAAGCACACAAACACCGUAGACAGAGGGGAAAAAAGUACGGGCAAUAAGCCUCACCAGCUGUUUUGUUCAAUAGCAUCCUCGGUUGUAGAAUCCAGCAUCUCAAUCAUCGAAGAAUGAAUAAAUACUGCAGAUAAAGGUUUCCCAUCUGGAUAUCUAGACUAAACAUGUCACACAACAAAAAACAUAAUGAGAUGAAAAUUAAAGAGGCAACAUGAUACUCCCAAACUAGAGAAAAAUUUAUGUUAAACUAACAUGAUCGUUAUACCUGUAAGAACUGCACGGCUUGAGAAAUCCCAAGCUUCUGCAUGGUCUCAUAGGGAAUAUAAGAAUUCUGCAGGAAAACGGAAGAAAAUAAACCACCAAACCGUUGCUUCACUUUUCUACAAGGAAUAAUAAUUAACAGAACAUGCUAAAAGUGCAGUCUGGUGAAGUUCAAGUUUAAACCUUUUCUCAACCCAAUUACUUAAUAAACGGAUUCAUACAUGAGGCCAUUUCAGAGAGAGCGACAAAAAAAAAAACCUGUGAGAAGAAAGAGUCUACGCAUUCCUUUUGAGCAACAGCAAAAACCUGUCCCAAAAAUUAAACUGCAAAGUUAAUAAUCUAAUGAAUGAACAAGAAGAGUCCUCUCAUGACAUCAUGAAGACUGUCGCAAUUAGUAAUACAUAAGAUGCCAGAGACCAAGAAAGAUUAGAACUUUAGGACAUACAGAAGGAGUCCAAUGGGUGCCAGCACGUAGUGAUCCAAGCAUCUCCUCUUCCUUCAACAGACGGUUAAAUAUAGACUGGAAAAACGCAUUCUCAACAGCGACUCCACUAGAUCCAUUCAUUUGUUGCACCAACUGUUGUAACGGCGCCCACAAAGCAGACAAAUUGGAAGGAACAAAGAUACCCCUGGAAGCACCUCGAACCAUAGCGGUAACACGUGCUACAUAAGCAGGCGUAUAUAACUGUCCACCUUCUAGCCUUGCUUUCACCUAAAACGGAUUGGAAAAAUGUAAAAAAAAAAACUUUCAUUCACAAAAACACAAUGUGGAAGAGAGAGAGGAAAAGAUUUGGCAUUACCAAAGUUCCAAGGCGAGGCUCUAAAACGGAUUGCACCAACUCAGAGCCAACCUGUAACUGACCAGCAAGUUCAGCCACAGAGAUUUGGCUGCAUUCUUGGAGCCUCUCGUUGAUCUCUUCUGCGAUUGAGUCCCAAUAGGUUUGUGAUAUGAUCUCUCCCUGGACAAGCAUUAGCCCUGGAUCACUCAAGACCACAUCCUGUGCUUGCUUCUCCACAUGAUACAAAUCAACCCCGAUCGUAUCCGCCAGAUCGAUAACCGAG
rnacentral:lncRNA from 1 species